UGCCACAGCCAUAUCACCCUGCAGCCCAAGACUGGUUACUCAAUGAAGCUAAGCAGGGCUGAGCUUGGUCAGUACCUGAACGGGAGACCUAUUGGGAAAGCUAGGUUGCUGUUGGAA
ensembl:rRNA 5S_rRNA 5S ribosomal RNA